rnacentral:rRNA from 1 species
AGGUCACACCCGUUCCCAUACCGAACACGGAAGUUAAGCUCUUUAGCGCCAAUGGUAGUUGGGACUUUGUCCCUGUGAGAGUAGGACGUUGCCAGGC